CGACGAAUAUAUAAAAAAAUGUAAAUAUUAUACAUUUAUCAAUUUGAUAGAUUGUACCUCUAAGCCUAAUGCCAUUAUGUUUUAGAUCUGUUGUGCGUGCGACGGUCUCUUACUACCCCAAUGCUGUUGUUGAUGUCAGUCACUUGCAAGAUCGUUUUGCAGUUAAUAAAACGGCUGUUGUGGUUAAUCAAACUGUGCAAGAAUAUAGAGCGGAAAAUCAGCUUCUUUUCUGGUUACUCAUUCUGCUGGCAUUAUUGAUCUUACUGGCACUACUCUCGUUUCUUCUCUGUGGACUUUGUCCUUGCUGUCCACUCUACGCAUUUUUCACCAGACAGAGGAAAGUACAGUCGGCAGACUCUGUAGAAAAAAGAAGAUUCUUCCAAGAAUCCAAAGGAAUUCAAGGUAAAACAUAUCGUCACCUUCCGGUCAAAGUAUCACAAGCGCCAUGCGAUGUUUAAAAAUUUCCGCCGCCAUUUAUUUGUUUACAGAGAAAAUGUUGGUGAAUCUGUUUGAAAAUUUCACUGAAUUUCAUCGGCAGUACAAAGAAAAUUCAGUGAAAUUUUCGGACAGCUUCGUUGAACAAUUUUUCUGUAAAAAAAUAAAAUGGCGGCGGAGAUUUUGAAACGUCGCAUGGCGCUUGUGAUACUUUGACCGGAAGGUGACGAUAUUUCAUACACCAAUCACAACUAUUUUCUUAUCUAGCUCAAAAUUAAGGGGCAAAGCCCAAGGGCAAGCAAAUGUGAAGA
rnacentral:lncRNA from 1 species